rnacentral:lncRNA from 1 species
UCCCCUUUCUGCAGCCGCUUACAGGAUGAGAACACCAGGAGAAGCAUCUAUAAAUAUCAGCCUGGCUCACCGGGAAGAUGGUCAGAGGCAUGGAGAAUCCAGUUGAAAGGAGGGUUGUAACUAGUGCGAAGAGAUAAACCGAGAGCAGGACAAGCUGUGGAGGAGGGCGAGGGGAGAGGAUGCUGGGGCAGCUGCAGCCAGAAGAACUUGUGGAGCAGGAAGUAUCGAAUAGAGCGUGCAUGAGGAGCCCGAGACGACCAGAUCAGAUUGAAAUAGGAAAAGGCAGCUCUGCCUGCUCUGAGAGUCUCUUUGGUGCCAGAGAAGAGGGAGAUGGCAGGCUGAGAGGAGAACGAGAUGGACGGCUGGAGCAAAUAGUGUCUAAUGAACCAUGCUGGAAACACUGUCAGAAGCAAAGAGCUGGAUCUGCAGGUCUGCAAGAGCAGAGGAGUGCUGGCUGCUUGCUUUUUGCACACAGAGAGCACAUCAGACUCUCUGCUUCCAGUUGCACAGGGCAUAGCCUACAUUCCCACUCCUUCAAAGGAUGAAUUGAGCCACACCAGAACGUGCCGUCCCCAGCCAUCAGGCUCCUCGUCCUCCACCUUAGGCAAUGCUCACCGCGCUGCCCUGAGCCCUGGCAGGGUUAGAUCCAGCCCCACGCCUCCCUUCUCCUCUCUGUGCAGCCUGAAGUGAAAAGAGAGGGAGCAAGCAAGCUGCUCUUUUACAGGAGUCUAUCUAGGGAAUGGUGCAAGCUGGGAUGAAGUCCUUCUUUUUAACCGUUUCUGAGUUGUGACUGGGCUGAUACUGGGCACAUGAAUGCUACUGAGAUUGCUGAUGCUUGAAGGUUAAAUGCUUGUCGGUCACUUUCAAGGUACAGCAGGUGAAAGUAAGCUUUGUGCUGCAAGAGAAACAAAGGGCAUCAGUACCUGGGCAUAUUUAAAUGAGAUUAUAUUUUAUAGAAAACACAUAUACACGUGCACGUGUGCUUAGGGUGCAGAGAAGGUGCACCUUUUAAACAUCUCCAGAGCAGGAGGAAGCAUGGACUCAUGAACCACAAGUGGCUCUCAGCACACAGCUGCUACUGCGAAGGUUUGAGCCAGAAGUUAACGGUGGUCUUAGCGCCCUUUCAGGAGAGCCUGGGAUGUGGCAAUACCACACUGCACCAACUGACACAAGGUGAGAUUUGUUAAUAUAUGGACUGGAGAAAUCCAAAAGGAUGUCAGGGAGGGUGGUGCCAGGCAGUGUAGAGCUCUUUUCUGUGCAUCAGCAGUAACCUGCACAUUCAGGGUGCAGAGCACAAGCACUACAGCACCAGGUGGCCUCCAGCUGUCCCUCUGCCCAGCUCUGUGCCCGUCUUUCUCAAUCACCUCCCACUUGGAGCCCUGGCUGCAGGAAGGGCUCCGGAUGCCCGGAGAGCGUGGGCUGCUCUCUGGGGAAGCACUUGCUCCAUUGUUACAGAAAUACGUGAAAAGAGGCAGCGUUUUCAGAGGCUCCUCAAAAUGUCACCGUCCCUUCCUUGGCAUGGCUCUGCGACCUAUCUAAUAUAAAAUAUUAUUUGUGAAACUUCCUUUUAAUUGCUGUUUAAUGGCUCC